rnacentral:rRNA from 1 species
GACGAACGCUGGCGGCGUGCCUAAUACAUGCAAGUCGAGCGGACGAUUCGAAAGCUUGCUUUUGAAUCGUUAGCGGCGGACGGGUGAGUAACACGUGGGCAACCUGCCCUGUAGACGGGGAUAACAUCGAGAAAUCGGUGCUAAUACCGGAUAACAUGAAAUGUCGCAUGACGUUUCGUUGAAAGGCGGCGCAAGCUGCCGCUACAGGUGGGGCCGGCGCCGCAUUAGCUAGUUGGUGAGGUAACGGCUCACCAAGGCGACGAUGCGUAGCCGACCUGAGAGGGUGAUCGGCCACACUGGGACUGAGACACGGCCCAGACUCCUACGGGAGGCAGCAGUAGGGAAUCUUCCGCAAUGGACGAAAGUCUGACGGAGCAACGCCGCGUGAGCGAAGAAGGCCUUCGGGUCGUAAAGCUCUGUUGUUAGGGAAGAACAAAUAAGGUAGUAACUGACGUUACUAUGACGGUACCUAACGAGAAAGCCACGGCUAACUACGUG